rnacentral:tRNA from 1 species
UCCCUGCCGGCUUAGCAGUAAAGAAUCUGCUUGCAAUGCAGGUGACUUGGGUUCAAUCCCUGGGUUGGGAA